AUCCCAGGCGAUCCGACUCGAUCCAAUCCGAUCCAAGGCGAGCCGAGCCCAGCCGCACAGGCGCACGCAGCGCGGAGAGCGCCGCGGCCCCGCCCGGCUCGGCACGGCCCGGCCCGGCCCGGCCCGGCCAUGUCCGCCCGAGUGGCCCAUCCUCAAGAGCCUCACCACCCAUCAGAAAAGCCAGUCAUCCACUGCCAUAAAUGUGGAGAGCCAUGUAAAGGUGAAGUACUCCGUGUUCAGGCCAGACACUUUCACAUCAAAUGCUUCACCUGCAAAGUGUGUGGCUGUGACCUGGCACAAGGAGGCUUUUUCAUUAAGAAUGGGGAAUACCUUUGUACUUUGGAUUACCAGCGCAUGUAUGGUACCCGCUGUAACGGCUGUGGGGAGUUCGUUGAAGGAGAAGUGGUGACAGCUCUGGGAAAAACCUACCAUCCAACCUGCUUUGCCUGUACUGUUUGCAAGCGCCCAUUUCCACCAGGUGAUCGAGUUACCUUUAAUGGAAGGGAUUGUCUCUGUCAGUUGUGUGCUCAGCCAAUGUCCUCAAGCCCCAAAGAAUUGUCUGCCUCCAGCAAUUGUGCUGGCUGCGGAAGAGACAUAAAGAAUGGACAAGCAUUGCUAGCUCUGGAUAAGCAGUGGCACCUGGGAUGCUUUAAGUGUAAGGCCUGUGGCAAGGUCCUAACUGGGGAAUACAUCAGCAAAGAUGGUGCUCCUUAUUGUGAAAAGGACUAUCAGGUUCUUUUUGGAGUCAAGUGUGAAGCAUGUCACCAGUUCAUUACUGGGAAAGUCCUAGAGGCAGGUGACAAGCAUUAUCAUCCAAGCUGUGCACGAUGCAGCAGGUGCAACCAAAUGUUCACAGAAGGAGAAGAAAUGUAUCUGCAAGGUUCCACUGUCUGGCAUCCCGACUGUAAGCAAUCCACUAAGACCGAAGAGAAGCUAAGGCCUACGAGAACAUCAUCAGAAAGUAUUUAUUCCAGACCAGGUUCCAGUAUACCUGGCUCACCAGGCCACACUAUCUAUGCAAAAGUAGACAAUGAGAUCCUUGAUUACAAGGAUUUAGCAGCCAUUCCCAAAGUCAAGGCCAUUUAUGACAUUGAACGUCCAGACCUAAUUACUUAUGAGCCAUUCUACACUUCCGCCUACGAGGACAGACAGGAGAGACAGAGUCUUGGAGAGUCUCCAAGGACAUUAUCACCUACCCCUUCUGCAGAAGGUUAUCAAGAUGUUCGGGAUCGUAUGAUUCACAGGUCUACGAGUCAGGGCUCCAUUAAUUCUCCAGUGUACAGUCGUCACAGCUACACACCCACCAUGUCACGUUCCCCUCAGCAUUUCCACAGACCUGGCAAUGAGCCGUCCAGCGGUCGGAACUCCCCUGUCCCCUAUCGGCCAGACAGCCGCCCUCUCACUCCAACUUACGCUCAGGCCCCUAAACAUUUCCAUGUUCCAGAUCAAGGUGUCAACAUUUACAGAAAACCUCCAAUCUACAAACAACAUGAUGCAGCUGCUUUGGCAGCACAGAGCAAGUCCUCCGAGGAUAUCAUCAAGUCCUCCAAGUUCCCAGCAGCUCACGCACCAGCACCCAACGAGAUACCAAAGAUUGAGACGGACCACUGGCCAGGUCCUCCCUCCCUUGCAGCUAUAGCAGGAGCUGACAUGAGACGCAGGUCAAGUGGAAGAGAAGAAGACGACGAGGAGCUACAGAGACGCCGGCAACUGCAGGAGGAGCAGCUCAUGAAGCUUAAUUCUGGUCUUGGACAAUUGAUACUGAAAGAAGAGAUGGAAAAGGAGAGGUCAUCCCUUUCUGCCAGUCGUUACGAUUCUCCAGCCCAUGCUUCAGCCUCCAAAACCUCUUCUCUUCCUGGCUAUGGAAAAAAUGGACUUCACAGGCCGGUGUCUACAGAUUUUGGUCAGUACAACAGUUAUGGGGAUGUGAGUGGUGGUGUUAGAGAUUUCCAGGUAGAGUAUGGAUUUUCAUCAAUCAACUGACAACGGAAUUAAAAGCAUCUACUUUCUUGUUGAAGUCUGAAUUUCUGCUACAGGAAAGGAGUUCUUAAGACAUUAGCUUUGAUUUACCUGCAUGUUUAAGCAUAAUCACCAAUGUAGACUCUUAUCAAUAAAAAACAGGCACAACCUCAGGUUCCUCCUUGUACCUCCCCAGAACUGGGUUAAGAAGGCUCAGACCAGUUCUGUGACUUGUUCUGCUAAACCCAUUGUCUGUUGAAAUACAAGUUAUCUGCAGUAGCUCUCUUUGGAUGGCUAAGGGCAAAUUUAUUUCCAGCCUCUCUAAUACCAGCCCCAGAGACAGGUAGAAAUUCUCUUCUGGAGGCAAUUUUCUUCCAUACCAGGAGCCUUGAAAUCCUUAUUUUUGCCCUGAAAUUUGCUCUCCAGACAAGAUGGCUGAUCAAUAGCUUUCUACAGUGCUGCUCUCACAGAUGAGCUAGUAAGAUAUGUACUUGCAAGAAUCAGCCCUUUUACCCCAAAUCCUAUCUGCAGGAUUUUUUCUAGAAUAGUUUGUCUGGCUGGCUCCUCAGCACAAUCACAAUAUGAAGUGACAAUUUAAGAAGGGGUUUAAUUGUUUGGAUAUAUUUUUUUACUACUGUAUCAAAACCACGAUGAUUGGAAAGAAAACAAGAUUAUGGGAAGAGAAGGGAGUUCUCUGUGUAUUAUGCUCAAAAUGUAAUUUUAUUAGGAACAGUACCUGUGUCAAAAUAGCACCCUUUUACCAGAACCCUAUCCCCACUUGUGUUCAUAGUCAAAAUUUCCCAUUGUAGAGGCAAAAAAAAAUCCUUGGCUGAUACAGUAAAUGACAGAAAGGACAGUCCAGAAGUGUUAGAGUGCUUAUGUAUGCUGUUGGGUGGGAUCUAAAUUAAUGCUCCUGUGUAUUUGUUCCAAAGAACCUUAACUGAUCAUUGGGGCUGGGAAGGGCUUACCACUCUUUCAGAGACCCCUGGGCUGUGGUGUAUUUAGUCUCAGUGGGCAGCUAUCACCAGCCUUAGUGACAGAAAAUGUGGUGGCAGAGGGGGUGGAAGGAUGCCUCAGAAGAGUGAGAAAAGAGCAAUGUCCUGUAUGGUAAGAGUCAGCAUUAAGACUUGAAGGAAGUCUCAGUGCAAAUUCACCUUUGUUUUCACCACUGCUUGAGUGCCUUUACCCUCUGUGUGUGUAACCUACGUGUCUGAUAUAUACCUGUAUCUGAUGCAGUCCCUUCCGGAUGGUCAUGUCCCUGGAAUGAGAAUGGACAGAGGAGUAUCUAUGCCUAACAUGUUGGAGCCAAAGAUUUUUCCAUAUGAAAUGCUCAUGGUGACCAACAGAGGGCGAAAUAAAAUACUAAAAGAUGUAGACAGAACCAGGCUGGAGCGUCACUUAGCACCUGAAGUUUUUCAAGAAAUAUUUGGCAUGACGAUACAGGAGUUUGACAAGUUACCUCUCUGGAGACGCAACGACAUGAAGAAAAAAGCAAAACUCUUUUAAUCUCCUUUUAAAGAAACCAACUUAAAAAUGGUACAUAGGAUAUUGUAUCAUACAGUCCAAACUAUUUGGCAGCAACUACCUACCCACCAAAAAAAGGAAAAUCGCAUAGAGGCACCUCUGCACACAGCAGUUGAACAAGACGAACAUUUGCCCUCCUGGAACAUAGGGAAGGAAAUAUCUGAGCUCAGAAACAACAAAGAUGAUUUUCAGAGGUGUCGACCUUUUACAUGAUAUCAUACGAGAUAGGAAACUGUUCUUCUCCCUCAGUGAUACUCCCUUUACUUCUCUCCAUAACAUGAUGGACUUUAUUGCUAGAGCCAGGAAGUGCCCUUAGGAUGCCUUGUAGACUAAAGUAGUUGUAACCACUCCAAGAACUGGAAAAGAAAUAUAUAUAUAUAUAUAAAUAUAUAUAUGUGUGUGUUUGCGUGUGUGCGCACAUGUAUUUAUAUCUAUCCAUCUGUGUGUAUGUAUGUGUACAUAUGUGUAUAUAUAUGGAGAGAAAGAUAGAUACUCUGUAGUGAAGGAGAAGCCCUUUGUAACACACCCAUAUGGUCACGUUGUCUUUCACACAACUGUUUCUUAGUUGGCAGUCUUUUGAAAUGGCAUCUUUGUCUUUGACACAGUCUGCAAAGGUGGGUGCUCUGCUCGUUUGCAGUGCAUCCCAGUUGAAUUCUUGGAAAGCGGACUCCACGUACCUGUAUAUAUUUGCUAGGAUAUAUAGAAAGUGAAUUGCUGUGUCUGUUGCCAGUCUUCCCUCUUCCACACUUUCUGCUUGAAUUAAUAAGGCUGGAGCUUAACCAGUCAAAUAAUUUAAGAUCACUUAAGUAAUGGGAAUGAUGGAGAAGAGUCAGUUUUCUUGUAAUUUAGUCCAGGAGAUGGGUGGAUAUGGGUGGGAGUGAUAGAGUGAGAAAAUGCUUUUUUAAGUGUGCCCUGGUUCACACCCAGAGAUUUCGGGACAGACUCCCUGCUAGUCAUUACUAGUACAGCUCCUCAGAUUGCUGUGGAGCUGUAGGAUUUUACAUCAGCAGGGAAGACAGUUCUCUGCAAGCCAACACACAGUUUCAUCCCUCUUGGGGGAGGAAUGUUUAUGAACUAAAAGGUACCACCAAGGUGGUACCAUGCUCUGCCAAUAGAGGCUUUUUGAUUAAAUUGCAGUUGCUGUUGUCAAUAUGGCACAGUGCAUGGGGCCAAGCACUUUCUUUUUAGUUAAUGUAGUUUUUCACUUGUGCUUGGAAAAGAGGGCACAGGCUGUUUUUUUUUUUUUUCUUUUUUUCCUCUUGAAGCUUCAGAGCUCCAGCCUUGGUUAUAUUUAUUUCCCUUUGUGCCUGACUUGGUUUGUGGAGACAGAGAAAUCAUGCAAGAUGGUUUCUGAGCUGCAUUGAACUCCUCUUGCUUUCAGUCUUCUUCCACUAUGCUGCAGCUUGAAAAAAAAAACAAAACUGCCUAUAUAUACCUUAACUGCUUCUGGGCAGGUCCUUACAGAGAUGGACACGAGCACCAAAGUAAUUGAAUACAUGCAUUGUGGCUGCAAGGUCAGCUUUUUUUCUUCCUCGGUGCUUAACUGCCAAUGCAUACUGCACUAAUGAGCCUGUCUCCUGGUAUCGGAGCGGGACGUUCAGGUUCUGUGUCUGUCAAAGAAUAUCAAGGUUUCGUUUUUAAUGCAGAAACUUUUGGCACUGGAGACAUCAGAACCUUUGUAUUUUCUGUUAUGAGACAUUGGUGUUAAAAGUCUGGAAGUCAGGAAGGGGAAACAGUCCCACGUAGCUGUGAGAUUCGAUAUCACUGUGCUGAGUUCUGUGUCUCACCGUGCGGCAUUUCACCAUGAAACGUGCGGGACAGCCCAAACCCUGCCUCUUCUGUGCUGGUUUAGGAAGUCCUGUUACAGCAGAUCACCGUGGUUCCUUUGAUCCAACCCGAGCUGAAGAUUCAGUGUUUGAGAGGCAGAUGCAAAGGGUCAGCACCUGCUCCAUGCUCUAGGGCUAAGGGAAGGGUGAGCCCAAGGGACAAGCUGGAGAACGUGCUCCUGUGCAGAGCUGCCUCACAGUCCCUGCUGAACACAAGCCCUCAGAGAACACCGUGACACGCGGUUAGCUGCGAGGUAGCUCUCUGGACCUCACUGAGAUUGCAGCAAGGCUCAGUUCAACAUGUUUUACUUCAUUUUUCAGAACAAGCAUCUGAAAUGGCUUUAGAAGAACGCUGGGAAGCAAGUGGGAAUGCCAGGGGCGCUGGCAGGUUGAGAUGCAUUUCUGAGUGGCAGCUGAAACCGCAGCCAGGCAAUGAAAGGACAGCAGUGUCUCACAGUCACAAGUUUCAUGAACACUAGUCUCAGAAAUUCAGCGUAUGUUACCUGCGAAGGUGUGGCUUAACUCCGAGAUGAACAUUUGGGUUUUAAUCAUUUAACGUAUUAAAUUCUCCACAUUUUGUCAGCCCACAUUGGUGAUGCCAUGAUGCUGCUGCUCAAACGCAGUAGGCAUUACGGGUCUCUUAGCCCAAGUCACCUUGACAAUAAACCUUUUUGGUGUGAAGUCUGCUCUCAGGGAUGUGAGCUGCCAGUCUGCAUUUUUCUGUUCCCAUCUUUAAAUUACUAUUGAACUGCUCACAAGGUAUGUAAAUAUACUACCCGGUCAGUUCAGAGAUGGUUAAGCCAGGUUGUCUUGUUUUCUCUUCUCUCUUCUCCCUCCUCUCAAAAAAAAACAACCAACCAACCAAAGACAGUUCCUCAGCCUUUGAGAAAUGACAAGAUAAUUUGUGUCUGCCUCAUCAACUGAGAAUUUAAAGCUGCAAUUGCAGCUUGGGAAGGAAUGAGGAGAAGCCAGCUCAGAUGCAGCAGACGCAAUUAAUCUCUAACCGGAUUUUUGGGCUGGUGCCGGUGUGGAGCAUAGUCAGUCAGUUCACAGCUCUCUACACUGGACUUACUACUGCUUUAUUUCUGAUUGAGGACAUGAAGGAUUAAUUCCUCUUAAUAUCCCACCCAUCCAGAAUCAUGAACCACCCCAAGAUCCCAUGGCCCCAAAGAGCAGGCUGCAGCCGGCCGUGGGAUGGGUGGGUGGUUUCUGCAGUGGGCUGUUAGCAAUUGUCACUGCAAUAUUUUCUUUCAUCUGGUCUUCCCACCUCAUAAAAAUGGAAAGGCAGCUCCAGGGAGAGUUUUCUGUGUAAGCAGUGAAUCAUUUUCCUAGUAUCGAUCCAGUAGCAUAUUGUUUGUUGGGCAGCUCUGUGCUGUUGGGCAGUUCUUUGUAAUUCCCCUCUCAAUAGUCCCUUGUGGCCGAUAAAUUUGAAUAUUGUAAUGUAACAGAGUCAAAGCUUUGUAAUAAGACUCUAAAUUAUUCAGUAAAUACUUAAGCGUGUCUAAGAAUAUGCCUUAAGUACAUGCUCAAGUUCUUCUGCCUUGUGCAAAGCAUUUGAGCUUCUGAUGAAGUCCCAUCAAACUCAGUGCUGUCAACAACGUCACUGCCAAGAGGACUGAAACCUGAUUGCUUUUGUCUCAUUUUUCCCCUUUCUGCUUUAAGAAUGAAGUAAGAACAAAGACCUGUCAAAACAGGCACGUGGGGUGGAAUUGCAAAACCAUACAGGUGUGCAGAACGGGAUCAUAGACACGUGCAGGUUGUCAAAAACACAUGCACACGUAGCACACGCUUCCCUUACGGAGUUGAGAUGCUCUGUGAGUAGCUAGCCUGGAAUUUCCAAAUGCUACAUUGUGUUGAAAAGACCAGUGAUUAUGAAGGAUGUCACUUGCAUAUGUGCUCGUAUCUGCAGGGCUCCUGGGUACCUGCUUCUGAGAUCCAGCAAAUGUGCAAAACACAAGGUAACCGUCCCACUUUGUGCAAGUGCCAGGCUGGCCACGUGUGGUAUCAUUUAAAAGGCGUUUUCAGGCUUAUGUGAACAUUUGCAGUGCCCAUUCCUGGCAGUGCUCAGAUGGAAGAGAAAGACCUUGUGCAGCAGUCUUGAUAUUAACGGGGAACCCAGAGAUUUGACCUGCUGGGUUUUGUGGUUUCUACAGAUCCCGGUCUGAUAAUUUCCAUUGUGAACAAGAGGAGAGCUGUUCUGCAGUACAGUGGGAACAGCUGCCCAUAACUUGGAUGCCCUCACCUUCACUUGGCGUAAGCUCCAGCCUGCUGACAGUCAGAAGUGGAAAUUAAGUGUGUUGAAAUAAAUAUGUUUUUCAUCUUCCCUGAAGGUAGUAAAAUGAAGCCAACUUGAAAAAUAGAUUUGGAAAUUACUAAACUGUCCACUCUUUCUCAGUGAAGUGAUUGAUCUAUUGUGGCCUCAGUUUGGAAGCUGAGUGUAGCAUCUCAACUCUGCCAGUGUCCUAUCCCAAACUUGACAAACUUUCUGUACAGCUGGAAGAGUAAGUUCUUGUGAAGCUUGUUCUCAGAAUUUCAUGCUUUUUUUUUUUUUAAUUGUUUGUUACCAUUUCAUGCUGCUGUCAUUUAACACAGGUUUUAGUGGCCUGAGUCUCAGAAACAUACUCUUUUUUUUCAGUUUGAUUAGUAGCCUUUCAUUCAGUAUGGUUUGUGCACAUAGCUGCAGUGUGCUGUGAAAGGUUAGACUAGGAAAACAGUAAGUUUCUUACAGCUGCAUGUGGGACGAGAUAGCUCGGUGGCUCCGGUAAUGCUUGUACUUCUGUCUAGAUGGGGUCGUCUGGUUGUACCAAGCUGAAUGGUCCCAAGUCUCUGUGGGGCCAGCACUGCAGUGCUCACUGCCCUUCCCCUGUCGCAAUGUGGAAAUCCUUUUUCAGCCACGCAGUUCAGACACCCUGCUUUUCGGGGGAGGUCACUAGGGGUCUCUUCUGUGAAAGUGUUACUCUGAAGUUAGACACAUUUUGAAGUGAAGUCCCUUUCUGUAAGUCAUUGCUGCUCCUGGGGUGUUUCUGCUAUGUCAGGUAAUGUCAAGGGAUGGAGAAGUGUUUAGUUCUGGGAAGGAGGACAGCUGGCAUAGGCUUGCUUUCUCCAGGGUUUGCCAGUGUGAUAUUUAGCAAAUUUAGAAGAAAAUGCAUGCCAGCUUGUGCUACCUAUUUCAAACUUUGGGGAAAUCAAGUUUGGAGCACCUGUAGAUUAUAAGCGUCUAUGGCGAAGUUAAUGUUCUGAAGCUAUUACAACAAGUGAUGGAAAAAAUGGAUCCCCAGAACAGUAAGAAUAUAAGAACAUCCUCCAAACUCAGUGUGGAGUGACUUACCUUGGCUGUUCCUGACUUAGCAGCAGUUAGGAGAUCCUGACCCAUUUGGGCCAUAGCCUUGUAGAUACAGACUAAAUGGAAAUCAGCCUUUCUCCCACUCCACAUUUCAUUGCUUUCCUUCUGAAUUUAUCUGUAGAGGAGGACGUCAGCAUCCUGGAAAUUACCUGUGGUGCUAAAAAAGUCGAUGAUAAUGAUGAUGAACAAAGCAUGUACAGGAAGCAAUAAAAAUCAACUGAUCUGUUCUGAAAUGCCAAUCCAUUUGCCAUAGCAAAGACACUUAGGGCUUGAUCCCGCAGCCCCCUUUCACAUUCAGGGCACGGCCCAGGCCUUUGCCAAACAUUGUGGCCCUGUCCACACAUCUUCUGGAGUCCAUAUUCUUCAGGGUAGACAUAUGGAGGAAGCGAUCCCGACAAUAUGUGGUAUGUUUUUACCCCAUUGCUAUGUAAUUAAGAGCUGGAGAGAGUGACUGACCACUGUGAUGGCAGAACUUUCUCUUCUAGUGUAGGAACACCCUCAUCGCUGUGGGUUGCAGGACUGCUCUGGCUGGUGAGUGUUGCUGUCUGAUUUCUCCCACACACCUAUUUAGUGCUUAAUAAAGUGCAGGACAAAAAAUCUAUCACUAAAAAAAAAGAUACUGAAUUUUUAGUCAGACAAUUCUGCUGGCAGGAGCUGUGUGGUGCUUGCAUUUGGCAUGGAGGGAGUGAGUGUUAUUAAUUUUAAUGUGAGCAUCAGUGCAGGAAGUGGGAAUGUAAUUGGCCAUUAAUGUUGUUUGCCUGUAUGCAAAAUAAAUUAUCUGUUGCCCAAAGAGCUUUUAACAGGGAAAUAGAUUUCUGCUAAUGAUUUCCUAAAAAACGCUUGUCCGUAUGAAGAGGUAAUACUUCCACGUGUGCUGUGGUCUUUCUUUUGAGGUAAAAAGAGAUGACUGAAGGCAAGCAGUUACCUGCUUGGCCAGAAAUCACUAUAGUUAAUACGGGUGUUGCUCCUAGGACUUGCAAAGCUGAGGCCACAGGACCUUGCUCCUAGACAUUAGGAGAUGAGGUGUUAAAGGCUUGCAGAAGCAGCUGCGCGAAUCCCAGCGGUGCCUUACCAGGCUGAGUCUGGCUCCCUUGGGCACUGACAGUUCCCACUGGACACCCUGCAGAAAGCACUACCCCCAGAUGCAAAACCACUGACACCAGUGGGGCCUCUCACUGACAUCCACAUGCUUGGGAGCGGGUUCUUUCUCAUCUGGCAGGACCAGGAAAGUGUCUGACUGCUGUGCACGCCCGCAGCAGCCAGCUCUGUGUGUCCCUGCUGGAUCUGUCUUGUCCCAGCAGUGCCACCUGGUCAUUGCUGACAGCUCUUCCUGCGAGGGGGCCUUACAGCUGGGGACAUUUUUUAAGCUUUGGAAACUGAAACUAGUUUUUCAAAGGUAUAUUUUCCUUUAAGUCGGUAGAUUUUGGCAAUAGGAUUUUUAUUGUUUUAUUUUUCUUUUCUCCUCCCUCCACACAUUACAAACCAGCGUUUCGGGGAGGUGUCCCUGUGUUUCCCAUUCAUCUGUGAGACAGCUCUUGAGUCUCUCUGUAAAAGUGAAUCAAUGUCUCGUCUGUACAGUAAGUCUGCUUGUAUGCAUAAUGAAAAGUUGAGCUGGGUUGCUGUUCUGUACAAUUAGUGUUUCCACUGUCAUACUGCAAACAGCACAUACUGCACUCCUGUGCCACUGUAAUCUGCAUCACUGUUGUACUCAAGUCAAUGAAUAAAGUUUGGAGCUUUAUUCUUAAU